rnacentral:rRNA from 1 species
UACGUAGGGACCGAGCGUUGUCCGGAAUCAUUGGGCGUAAAGAGCGUGUAGGCGGCUAUUUAAGUCCUGCGUGAAAUCCUGCGGCUCAACCGCAGACGGUCGUGGGAAACUGGAUGGCUAGAGUGCGGGAGAGGAGAGUGGAAUUCCCGGUGUAGCGGUGGAAAUGCGCAGAUAUCGGGAAGAACACCCGUGGCGAAGGCGGCUCUCUGGAACGCAACUGACGCUGAGA